GUGGCGCAGUUGGUAGCACUGUUGCCUUGCCUUGCCUAGCAAGAAGGUCCUGGGUUCGAUUCCCGGCCA